GAGUUUGAUCCUGGCUCAGAUUGAACGCUGGCGGAAUGCUUUACACAUGCAAGUCGAACGGCAGCACGGGUGCUUGCACCUGGUGGCGAGUGGCGAACGGGUGAGUAAUGCACCGGAACGUACCCAGUAAUGGGGGAUAACACAUCGAAAGAUGUGCUAAUACCGCAUACGCCCUGAGGGGGAAAGCGGGGGAUCGUAAGACCUCGCGUUAUUGGAGCGGCCGAUGCCGGAUUAGCUAGUUGGUGGGGUAAAGGCCCACCAAGGCGACGAUCCGUAGCUGGUCUGAGAGGACGACCAGCCACACUGGGACUGAGACACGGCCCAGACUCCUACGGGAGGCAGCAGUGGGGAAUUUUGGACAAUGGGGGAAACCCUGAUCCAGCCAUUCCGCGUGAGUGAAGAAGGCCUUCGGGUUGUAAAGCUCUUUCGCAAGGAAAGAAAACUUAUCUACUAAUACUAGAUGAGGCUGACGGUACCUUGAUAAGAAGCACCGGCUAACUACGUGCCAGCAGCCGCGGUAAUACGUAGGGUGCGAGCGUUAAUCGGAAUUACUGGGCGUAAAGCGUGCGCAGGCGGUUCGAUAAGUCUGAUGUGAAAUCCCCGGGCUCAACCUGGGAACUGCGUUGGAAACUGUCGAGCUAGAGUGUAGAAGAGGGGGGUAGAAUUCCACGUGUAGCAGUGAAAUGCGUAGAGAUGUGGAGGAAUACCGAUGG
rnacentral:rRNA from 1 species